CUACGGGAUGCAGCAGUGGGGAAUAUUGCACAAUGGGCGCAAGCCUGAUGCAGCCAUGCCGCGUGUAUGAAGAAGGCCUUCGGGUUGUAAAGUACUUUCAGCGGGGAGGAAGGGAGUAAAGUUAAUACCUUUGCUCAUUGACGUUACCCGCAGAAGAAGCACCGGCUAACUCCGUGCCAGCAGCCGCGGUAAUACGGAGGGUGCAAGCGUUAAUCGGAAUUACUGGGCGUAAAGCGCACGCAGGCGGUUUGUUAAGUCGGAUGUGAAAUCCCCGGGCUCAACCUGGGAACUGCAUCUGAUACUGGCAAGCUUGAGUUUCGUAGAGGGGGGUAGAAUUCCAGGUGUAGCGGUGAAAUGCGUAGAGAUCUGGAGGAAUACCGGUGGCGAAGGCGGCCCCCUGGACGAAGACUGACGCUCAGGUGCGAAAGCGUGGGGAGCAAACAGGAUUAGAUGCCCCUGUAGUC
rnacentral:rRNA from 1 species